AACGAACGCUGGCGGCAUGCCUAACACAUGCAAGUCGAACGAGGCCCUUCGGGGUUUAGUGGCGCACGGGUGCGUAACGCGUGGGAAUUCGCCCUUUGGUUUGGAAUAACAGCUGGAAACGGCUGCUAAUACCGGAUGAUGACGAAAGUCCAAAGAUUUAUUGCCAGAGGAUGAGCCCGCGUUGGAUUAGGUAGUUGGUGGGGUAAAGGCCUACCAAGCCGACGAUCCAUAGCUGGUUUGAGAGGAUGAUCAGCCACACUGGGACUGAGACACGGCCCAGACUCCUACGGGAGGCAGCAGUGGGGAAUAUUGGACAAUGGGCGCAAGCCUGAUCCAGCAAUGCCGCGUGAGUGAUGAAGGCCCUAGGGUUGUAAAGCUUUUUUACCCGGGAAGAUAAUGACUGUACAGGGGGAAUAAGCCCCGGCUAACUCCGUG
rnacentral:rRNA from 1 species